ACAUCUAGUGGAAGCAAUAGGAAGUGCCAAAAUAUUCCUAAACCCCUGUGUUUUUCAAUGGGAUAGGUUUAAAGUCAAUACAACACAUCAGGUAUCCACUUCCUGUCAGAAAAUGUCUCAGGGUUUUGCCUGCCAAAUGAGUUCUGUUAUACUCACAGACACCAUUCAAACAGUUUUGGAAACUUUAGAGUGUUUUCUAUCCAUAUAUAAUAAGUAUAUGCAUAUUCUAGUUACUGGGUAGGAUUAGUAACCAGAUUAAAUCGGGUACAUUUUUUUUAUCCAGACGUGCAAAUGCUGCCCCCUAGACCCAACAGGUUAAAGAAUUAUAGAUUUACAUCUCUUGAACGCAAUCAACUUGCCAGAUUUAAAAAUAACCUUACUGGGAAAUCACACUUUGCAAUAAUCUGAGCACUGCGCCCAGAAAAAUACGCGUUGCGAUACAGACUAGACGUCAUGUUGGGGAGAUCUAAAAUCGAAAAUACUAUGUAAAUAAUCCAUUACCUUUGAUUCUCUUCAUCAGAUGUCACUUCCAGGUAUCACAGGUCCAUAACGAAUGUAGUUUUGUUCAAAAAAGCUCAUCAUUUAUGUCCAAAAAUCUCCGUCUUGUUAGCACAUGAUCUAAGCCAGCCGGACUUCUCGUCAUGAACGAGGGGAAAAAAUAUAUUUCCGUUCGUUCAAACAUGUCAAACGUUGUAUAGCAUAAAUCAUUAGGGCCUUUUUUAACCAGAACAUGAAUAAUAUUCAACGUGGACGAAUGCAUAGCCUUUUAUAACGUAUUGGAACGAGGGUACCCAACAUGAAGUAGCGCGCCAGGUGUCUAAUGGGACAUCACCGUUCCAUGGCUCUUGUUCGGUCAGAUCUCCCUCCAGAAGACUCAAAACACUUUGUAAAGGCUGGUGACAUCUAGUGGAAGCAAUUGGAAGUGCCAAAAUAUUCCUAAACCCCUGUGUUUUUCAAUGGGAUAGGUUUAAAAUCAAUACAACACAUCAGG
rnacentral:lncRNA from 1 species